rnacentral:rRNA from 1 species
GUGGGGAAUUUUGGACAAUGGGCGCAAGCCUGAUCCAGCCAUUCCGCGUGCAGGAUGAAGGCCUUCGGGUUGUAAACUGCUUUUGUACGGAACGAAAAGGUUCUCUCUAAUACAGGGGGCUGAUGACGGUACCGUAAGAAUAAGCACCGGCUAACUACGUGCCAGCAGCCGCGGUAAUACGUAGGGUGCAAGCGUUAAUCGGAAUUACUGGGCGUAAAGCGUGCGCAGGCGGUGAUGUAAGACAGAUGUGAAAUCCCCGGGCUCAACCUGGGAACUGCAUUUGUGACUGCAUUGCUGGAGUGCGGCAGAGGGGGAUGGAAUUCCGCGUGUAGCAGUGAAAUGCGUAGAUAUGCGGAGGAACACCGAUGGCGAAGGCAAUCCCCUGGGCCUGCACUGACGCUCAUGCACGAAAGCGUGGGGAGCAAACAGGAUUAGAUACCCCAGUAGUCC